GUGAUGAUGUCCCGGAUGUAGUCUCCAGCUGCAGUCCCUCACCCAGGCCAUGGCUCCGACACCAGGGACCUCUGCCUCCAGACAGCAGAGCUAAGAAAAAAGCAGGAAGAUGUUACUUAUUUCUACUAACCAUGCACUGCUAAGAGGAAAAAGGUAAAGAAAACAUGUUAUUUACACACGAUGGAGUACUGCUCUGCCUUAAAGAAAGAUAAACUUUGGUCAUUUGUGGGAAAAUAGAUGGACCUUGAGAUCGUAAGUUAAGUGAAAUAAAUCAGUCACACAAGUUUAAGUACUUCAUGGUUCCUCUUAGAUGAGAAAUGCAGAGUAAAACUAAAGGGCAAAAUGAAAGAUGUAUACUAAAAAAGUAGG
rnacentral:lncRNA from 1 species